GUUUUCCAAAGAAACUAGACCAAAAUAUACCUUGGUGAAAAGAAACCAACCUGCUGUUUCCAUAGGGUGUCUCUCACCCCUCUGUGAACACAAGGAAGACCACGUGGGAGCUUGGAGACCUCCAGCUUCCCUGGGGAGGCUCCAUGCUGGAGAACAGGCCAAGGCUCCCUGGGAACAGUGCGCAGUGAAUGUUAAUCCGGAACUGCUGUUGGCCGAGUGUACCCAGGGGGAGAUGAUUCCUCAUGAAGAGCCUGGAUCCCCUACAGAAAUCAAAUGUGACUUUCCGUUUAUCAGACUAAAAUCAGAGCCAGCC
rnacentral:lncRNA from 1 species